rnacentral:rRNA from 1 species
UCGGAAUUACUGGGCGUAAAGCGCAUGCAGGUGGUUGUUAAGUCAGAUGUGAAAGCCCGGGGCUCAACCUCGGAAUUGCAUUUGAAACUGGCAGACUAGAGUACUGUAGAGGGGGUAGAAUUUCAGGUGUAGCGGUGAAAAUGCGUAGAGAUCUGAAGGAAUACCGGUGGCGAAGGCGGCCCCCCUGGACAGAUACUGACACUCCAGAUGCGAAAAGCGUCGGGGAGCAAACAGGAUUAGAUACCCUGGUAG